UACGUAGGGGGCAAGCGUUAAUCGGAAUUACUGGGCGUAAAGCGUGCGCAGGCGGUUAUGCAAGACAGAUGUGAAAUCCCCGGGCUCAACCUGGGAACUGCAUUUGUGACUGCAUGGCUAGAGUGCGGCAGAGGGGGAUGGAAUUCCGCGUGUAGCAGUGAAAUGCGUAGAUAUGCGGAGGAACACCGAUGGCGAAGGCAAUCCCCUGGGCCUGCACUGACGCUCAUGCACGAAAGCGUGGGGAGCAAACAGG
rnacentral:rRNA from 1 species